rnacentral:rRNA from 1 species
GACGUAGGGUGCGAGCGUUGUCCGGAUUUACUGGGCCUAAAGGGCGCGUAGGCGGCAUGACAAGUCACUUGUGAAAUCUCUGGGCUUAACCCAGAACGGCCAAGUGAUACUGUCGCGCUAGAGUGCGGAAGGGGCAAUCGGAAUUCUCGGUGUAGCGGUGAAAUGCGUAGAUAUCGAGAGGAACACCUGAGGUGAAGACGGGUUGCUGGGCCGACACUGACGCUGAGUGCGCGAAAGCCAGGGGAGCAAACGGG